AACGAACGCUGGCGGCAGGCCUAACACAUGCAAGUCGAGCGCCCCGCAAGGGGAGCGGCGGACGGGUGAGUAACGCGUGGGAAUUUUCCUCAAGGUACGGAACAACUCAGGGAAACUUGGGCUAAUACUGUAUGAUGUCUAGCGACCAAAGAUUUAUCGCCUUGGGAUAAGCCCGCGUCAGAUUAGGUAGUUGGUGGGGUAACGCCUACCAAGCCUGCGAUCUGUAGCUGGUCUGAGAGGACGAUCAGCCACACUGGGGCUGAGACACGGCCCAGACUCCUACGGGAGGCAGCAGUGGGGAAUCUUGCGCAAUGGGCGAAAGCCUGACGCAGCCAUGCCGCGUGAAUGAUGAAGGUCUUAGGAUUGUAAAGUUCUUUCGCCCGUGACGAUGAUGACGGUAACGGGAGAAGAAGCCCCGGCUAACUUCGUGCCAGCAGCCGCAGUAAC
rnacentral:rRNA from 1 species